UAAAAAAAAACAAAAACAAUUAGAGAUAAAAUAAUAAAUAUGACAAAAACUUUUCUUAUCGUUGUUCUUGUACUAUUAGGAACAUCGUUUUCAAACUCCAACGCUUUAGCCUCAUCAUCUGUCAAUGGAUUUGGAUAUGAUUAUUGCAUUAAACCAUGUUUACCAAAUUAUACAGAUACUGACUGCAAGUUUGAGUGUGUAACUUAUAAAGGGUACUCAGAUGGAGGGUGUGUUGGUUUAGCACCAAAAUUUCAGUGUUGUUGUAAGAAAUGAUAGAAAUUAUCUUUAUAAUAAACUGGUGAUUUGAUUACUUGUAUGCUCAAUAACUAAUCUUAUUGUACUUUGAUAAGUCUAAAUAAUUUCACAAAGA